UGGGGAAUAUUGGACAAUGGGGCGCAAGCCUGAUCCAGCAAUGCCGCGUGUGUGAAGAAGGCCUUCGGGUUGUAAAGCACUUUUNUCAGGAGCGAAACCUGUCGGCUAAUACCCGGCGGAAACUGACGGUACCUGAGGAAUAAGCACCGGCUAACUUCGUGCCAGCAGCCGCGGUAAUACGAAGGGUGCAAGCGUUAAUCGGAAUUACUGGGCGUAAAGCGUGCGUAGGCGGUUUCUUAGUCUGCUGUGAAAUCCCCGGGCUCAACCUGGGAAUGCAGUGAUACUGGGAGGCUAGANUGUGUCAGAGGUGGUGGAAUUCCCGGUGUAGCGGUGAAAUGCGUAGAGAUCGGGNGGAACAUCAGUGGCGAAGGCGGCCACCUGGGACAACACU
rnacentral:rRNA from 1 species